CAGGGUCUGACGACUGCCCAAACCAAACCGUGAAUCACUCCUUUCACUUCUGCCUCGGUGGGCCGCUCGCUGGGGGAGCCUCGGACCACCGCCUCGUUGCGGUGGUUGGUCCGCCGAAGCAACCAUAUAUCAAAAUCUUUCUGAGAAAUCUAUUUCUGAGAAGCAACUUUCUGAAAAGAAAAAAUCAGUCA
rnacentral:misc_RNA from 1 species